rnacentral:lncRNA from 1 species
AGUAUUCAUAAUAUAUAAAUAGAAUUUCGAUUUUUUGUAGUAUUCCAAAGAUGCCAUUUAAGCAUCCAAAAAUUAGGAAAAAAAUAAUAAAAAUAGUCUUUAUUGUGAUAUUCAAUUUAACUACAAACAUUUUAGAGUACUAUAAUUUGAAGGCACGUGAAAUUAUAAAAUAAAUUACAUAUAAUAACAAUUAUUCUGAAAUGAUAAGACAUGCAAUAUUCUAGUAUAAAGUAUAUUUUUUUAAUUCUUUGAUUGUUACAGAAAUUAUUUUCCCCUUUCAUGGAGUUUGUGUACUCCCUUGUAUUCAUUCCCUCCAAAACACGUGCAUUUUUUCUUAAUGCAAUUACAAAUUAUGUCGGGCAUGUGAGAAAAAUCUGGACAAUCUUGAACAGUUUCGCAUUUACGAUAUGCUGUAUGAAAAAAUGAAUAAGAUAAUAACAUCAAAACGAGAUAAAUAUUUAGGAAUAACUACAAAAUGAAAAAGAAAAAAACGUACAGAUGAAGAAAUUGUUUACCGCAAACCUCCUUUAAAAGAAGCAAGAUUGAAAUAAAUAAAACCAUAGUACAAUAAAACUUGGGAGUUUUAGCCAUUUUUUCUCCUUUUUUGCAUGUAAUAAAUAGAUUAUGAUUCGACCAACUUAUAGUUGAAAGACUCAUGUAAUGCUAAAUUUUUUAAAAUAUUUUUACCAAUGUAAAUUUAUAAUUUUUUGUUUGUCC